CAAAAGCUCAGUUGUUUGAUAUCUUUGUCCUCAUAGUCUUAUUGUCCAGGUAGACACAUAGAGGUCGGACCUUGAAGCAAUGAAUGUCCCAGAAUGAGGGUGGUCGACUCGAUUCAUCCCACUUGAAAUAAAAGAUACCACACAGUCUGCGUCAUCCGUUUCAUAUUUGGAUAUUUUACUGGAAAUGGCCAUUGAAGAACCGUUUUUCAUGUUGCCAUGUUGAUUUUGCGAUAUCACGACAGAGGCUUGCUCAUUAGAAUUUAGAGUAAAGUUCAAGCAUGUUCUAAUAAGUAAUAAAGACACAAUUUCCAACGUUUUCUACAACUUCAAUCACCUAAUCUUUUUUACAGUCUAUCUCAUCUGACAUUCAUACAUUGUAUAUACUUCAGCAUUGCUAUAGGUUUUAUGACACUGACAAAAACAUGAAACUGUCCUUAAUUUGGUUCAAACUGAGGUGUGGAUUUGAUAAUUAAUACUAAUUUUGUUUUGAUUAGUAGCAUAAAUAAUGUUUUUGUAAAAGAUUCAGUCAAUAUCAAGUUCGUACUUUUCACUCAGUCAAUGCAUACAUGUAGUUUUGAAAAUUUUAUAAAUCUUUGAUAAGA